CCUUCGAUAGCUCAGUUGGUAGAGCGGAGGACUGUAGUGAUUAUGUCAGAUAUCCUUAGGUCGCUGGUUCAAAUCCUGUUCGAAGGA
rnacentral:tRNA from 1 species